ensembl:lncRNA
GUGUUGACGGGGAAGGGAGGAGCUCAGGGAAGAGAGGAGGAAGUGAGAUGGGAGGAGAGCACAGAGAGGUGUGUAGACGGGGAAGGGAGGAGCUCAGGGAAGAGAGGAGGAAGUGAGAUGGGAGGAGAGCACAGAGAGGUGUGUUGACGGGGAAGGGAGGAGCUCAGGGAAGAGAGGAGGAAGUGAGAUGGGAGGAGAGCACAGAGAGGUGUGUAGACGGGGAAGGGAGGAGUCUCAGGGAAGAGAGGAGGAAGUGAGAUGGGAGGAGAGCACAGAGAGGUGUGUAGACGGGGAAGGGAGGAGCUCAGGCAGUGGGUGGUGUUUUGAUCAGCGGCCAGAUUUCCAACCCUGCGUUUCAGUCUGCACAGAGGAGGUGGAGAAGAGAAGAGGGAGAUGGAGGGAGGAGAGGGCUGUUGAAUCCCAGGUGAACCCCCACUGACGCCAUUCCACCAUCAGCCCUCCAUUUGUGCAUUCAUGUGGGCUUCAGCCGUUUGCACAAGUGUCUCGAUCGCUGAUGGAGCAAAAAUGCUCAAGGGUGGCGAGGCUAAUUAGACCCUCCGCUGGCCCCUUUGAGCGAGUGUUCAACGAUGCAGCCUCUGGUAGCGAAGUGGAAUCCCAUAAGGCGCCGCAGUUUUUGGAGGUUGCAUAGUUUCACAGAAAAUAAAAGAUAGGCAUACCUAAUGAUAUUACGUGUGGAUUUGUUCAUGUCUGAUUUGGAGACUUGAGACAUACAAAACAAAAUACCUCCUAAAUUAAACAUUCAAUUAUUCACAGUUUCUUUUUGCCAAACCUCGGAAGUGGAGCAGGGCCAAGACGACCGACUACCCCUUGUUAAAUAGCGUAGUGGUUAGAGACGCGGCCUGCCAUGCAUCCUGGUCGAUGUUCGAGCCUCGCCGCAUGAAAAACAAAUGACACAUUAGGACUGGUUCAGGAUAGACAAAAAUGUCGCUGGCUACAAACUUCUGUAGUUACUUUAUAGUAUGCCUAAAAUAAAACUGUUUACGGUUAUAUUGCAACUAUUUCUGGUUCCGUGCAUUGUUUUUGGGUAAUAGCCUAUAGAUCACAACCCCUUGCGCAGUAAAAGAGGAGGGGUAUCUACGAUUCUCUCGUCUUUUCUCUUGACAAAAUAGUUAUCUUCACCUAUAUUGAUUGUUAUUAUAUCAAUGUAAUUCACGAAUGAUAGAAUAAUGAACGUUGUUGUGCCAUGAAAUGAAAUAGCUUUGGCAGUGUUCAUCUUCAGUCUCGCAAAAAAUUACUCAAUUCUUAUGACUAUUCCAAGUAGCAAAUAGAUACCAGUAGGCCUAUUACUGGCUAUUAAAAGCCAUACAUUUCAUAGAUACUAUUUGUGGUGGAAGUAAAUGUAAUAAGUUAAGUUAGUCAGUUUAACACAAUGAUUAAUGGUGUGUAGCUAAAUAUUCAAACUUGGCGUGAUGUUAAUGCGUGACCUUAUGUGUGCAAUUUUCUGACGAGGUAGUACUUCCCAGUCCGUCCCAAUACUGACAUACUAGCUAACUAUAUAAAAAACACGAUGUAUUUCACCACCAUCCGCGAAGUACGUACUUGUAAUAUGUAUGUAAUAUGUAAUAUGUAGUAUGUGAUUUGAGAUUCAGCCAAUGCUUUCAAUUUCCUUGUAGUUCACAUAGCGUAAUGGUUAGCUAUUCAACUGUUAUUGUAUGGAUGACCAUUAACAGUAAUCUUUGUACAAGAGGACACUUCAAUUCCGUUAACAAAUGUUUUGUUGUCCACGUUAUUUUAGCAAAAAUUUAAUGGCUGAGGUAAAAGUUACAUUCCUGCUGUUUAAAUAGCGUAAUGGUUAAAGAGACAGUUUGCCACAUAGAAUACCGCAGAUUGAAACCAGACAGGGACAACAACAUUCAUCCCUUCUAAUUGAAGGCCGGCUGAACUAGGCUUGCCUGGUUCCUUUUAUGGUUAAACAAUAGGAGGGAUUUGUAAAUUGUUAUAUUCUUUAAAAGUGGACCAUGAAUUGCAUCAUUCAAGUCUUAAAAAGCAGAAAGAGGGGGCUGACUGACUGCUGAUUGUUUCAUUGACUUGUGGAUGCUGGGAUAGAGUAAAGGGGUAUAGAGUAGAAUGGUUGAGAGACGGGAGGGGUCGAGGGGGGAUAGAGUGGGGGGGGGGGUAGAAGGGGUGAGAGACGGGUGGGGUCAAGG